rnacentral:rRNA from 1 species
GAUGAACGCUGGCGGCGUGCUUAACACAUGCAAGUCGAACGAAGCACUUUUAAUUCUUCGGAAGAGGAAGUGACUGAGUGGCGGACGGGUGAGUAACGCGUGGGUAACCUGCCUUAUACAGGGGGAUAACAGUUAGAAAUGACUGCUAAUACCGCAUAAGCCGAUAGAGUCGCAUGACUUAGUCGGAAAAGAUUUAUCGGUAUAAGAUGGACCCGCGUCUGAUUAGCUAGUUGGUGAGGUAAUGGCCCACCAAGGCGACGAUCAGUAGCCGGCUUGAGAGAGUGAACGGCCACAUUGGGACUGAGACACGGCCCAAACUCCUACGGGAGGCAGCUGUGGGGAAUAUUGCACAAUGGGGGAAACCCUGAUGCAGCAACGCCGCGUGAAGGAAGAAGUAUUUCGGUAUGUAAACUUCUAUCAGCAGGGAAGAAAAUGACGGUACCUGACUAAGAAGCCCCGGCUAACUACGUGCCAGCCGCCGCAGUAA